GGACUACUGGGGUAUCUAAUCCUGUUUGCUCCCCACGCUUUCGCACCUCAGCGUCAAUACUUGUCCAGUCAGUCGCCUUCGCCACUGGUGUUCUUCCGAAUAUCUACGAAUUUCACCUCUACACUCGGAAUUCCACUGACCUCUCCAAGAUUCUAGCUAUCUAGUUUCAAAGGCAGUUCUGGAGUUGAGCUCCAGGCUUUCACCCCUGACUUGAAUAGCCGCCUACGUGCGCUUUACGCCCAGUAAUUCCGAACAACGCUAGCUCCCUCCGUAUUACCGCGGCGGCUGGCA
rnacentral:rRNA from 1 species